rnacentral:rRNA from 1 species
UACGUAGGUGGCAAGCGUUGUCCGGAUUUACUGGGCGUAAAGAGCGCGCAGGCGGUCGUUCAAGUCGCGUGUGAAAGCCCCCGGCUCAACUGGGGAGGGUCACGCGAUACUGAUCGACUCGAAGGCAGGAGAGGGUAGUGGAAUUCCCGGUGUAGUGGUGAAAUGCGUAGAUAUCGGGAGGAACACCAGUGGCGAAGGCGGCACUCUGGGCCGGUACUGACGCUGAGGAGCGAAAGCGUGGGGAGCAAACAGG